UUUUGCUUCAAACAGAAUCACAUAAUUUUGAAAAUGUACCAGCAAACAUCACAUUUGAAAUAAGUUGCUAGUAAAAGACACAUCAUUUGUGGCCUGAAUAAGUGCUAUGAAAUAACCAUGAAAAUAACAAUCCUUUCGGUAGCAAUAUAUAUUUCAAAAAGAAACCAUCUAUCAAAAUCAAGGAACAUGGAAGUAAAAGUAUACUUCGAUACAUAUUCAGCUAAUAAAUUAUGAGAGCCGAGAUAGCAAUAAACUUAAUAUGUGGCCUCAUUAUUCUCUCACAUGUGAAACCAUGACCGUAAACUUGAGUAAUAAGCAGAUUCACCCACUAAAAUCAUACCAAAACUGGUCAUGAGCAACAUCACUAAAUGUCAAGGAAACAUAUACAAAUGCAACAACCAACAUAUGCUCUGCCUGCAGCAAACUCUUCUAUCCAUUCAGAAAAAGGACUAUCUUAUAUGUCAAUGCAUCAAAUAAAUUAAAACUGGGAAGCUCAAUUUGUUGAGCCGUUGCAUUGGCAAAAGAGCACACUGCAACAAUAGAAAACAGAGUUAGAUUUCAAUUGCUGCAAAAGGUAGUGUUCCCGGAGCAAAAUAGCAAAAAUGCAAAAACAAACAAACCUGCCUUUUGAGUAAAACUCAGUCAUCCAGGUAAUAAUAGGAACCAGCGUGUUUUUGCUCUCUAUCCUUGGUUGAAUCAAGUUUGUUGAUCCUUGGGCGGAAAUUAGUUGGGUCUCUUCUAAAUGUGAUAUCAAGAUGCUGCAACAGUGAUGAUUACAUUAGACAAUCAUACAAACAAAUACCACAACAUAAUUUUUGUUUUUCUGAAUACAUUAUACUUUAAUUUUUUUGAAGUAAAAGAAAUGUUGAAAAAUAGUGACACUUACGGAUAAGAAAAGAUUCAUCCCAGUCAGCAGUGAUUGCGGACAAUUUGCCUGACAAUCAAUUGAAGGUUGACCCUCAUAGACAAUAACUCUAUCAGCAAGAUAAGUUGCCAUGAUGAAAUCAUGCUCGACCACAAAGGCUGUUUUCUUUGCAUGAAGAAUAAACCUUUUGAUGACUUUCGCAGCAACAAUACGUUGUUCAGAAUCAAGAUAUGCACUUGGUUCAUCUAUCAGAUAAAUAUCUGCAGGCUGUUGUGUCAAGAGGAUAGCAACCGUUCAGAAAACUAUAAAUGCUAUUUAGUUUGAAAUGAAUAGGAUGGUACAUCUCAAGUAGGAAGACAAACACACAACAAAGCCAAGAGAUAUAGUUUCAAAAAUCUUGUCGCAAUGUCAGCACAAAUAGAAGUGUAUAGGCUACUGUAGUACUAGUAGUACAGUUAUGGAUCAGGAUUGAAUUAGUAUUUACAUUGAAUUAAAAUGUAUACACUUUAAGAGAUAAAAAAUAACUGUCUCAGCGAAUCCAAAAACUUGACACUGCAUUUAACUUGUAUUGGUUGUAUUGGUAACUGCAUUUAACUUGUAUUGGUUGUAUGGAAUGAAAUCCAGCUGACAUCACCAACAUGGAUUUGGCUUCUCAAAAGUGAGAAGUAGAACUCAAUAUUAGAGCAUAUUAGGAAUUAAUAUACAUGUAUCUCUUGAUGAGUUAGCUAGCUAGGUUCUAGUUAUUAAGUUGCAACUAACUCAGUGCUGAGCUUUCACAAUAACUCAGCAUCAGCAGCACAUCAGUAUUUCUAUAAAUACUGCUUGAUUUGAUGUAACUAACCUCACUAAUUCUGUUACAUUCAAUGCAACAGAUUCAUUCCUUUCUCUCAAUUAUGCCCUCUUUCUCUUUUUCUAAUAGUCAACCAUAGACAAAAUAUUGAACAGUUGAUGUAUAUCUAUAACAAAUCAAAGAUUUCACAAGGAUAAAAUCCUUUGAUUUUGUCAUCAUUCAAAAGUAAAUUGCUCACUCUGAAAGGAAAUUAUAAAGGAAACACUGGCAUAAAGGAAACAAUGAGGCUAUUCAAAAAAUUAAGAAGGAAAUAAAAAACAGAACAGACACUAGAGUUAAGGUGCACAGGCAAUCUUCUGCAGUUCUCAAGGAUGAAACUUAAAAUACCUUUCCGAGACAAAGGCAUAGGGCAACUCUUUGCAAUUCUCCACCAGAAAGAUUCACAACUUCUUGGUCCAUCAACUGUUCGAUAAGUAGGGGUUUCAUCACAUCUGACAUAAAUUGGGGAUGCGUAUAUGCAUCACGGAUUUUUUGAUGUAGCAGGUGUCUAACAGUUGAUUGGAACUUAGGGCUAAUUUUCUGAGGUUUGUAUGAAACAUUGAACUCAGGCAUCUCCACCUCAGACCCACCUUCUACAACGUCAGGUUUCAAUAAACCAGCCUGGACAAAAGGAGAAGGUGAAUAGACAUGAUAAAAACUAUGCAGUAUUGCAGUUUGAUAAAUAAAAAUAAAUAAAAGUAUACCAGCAUUCGAAUGAAUGUAGUCUUUCCUGUCCCAUUCUCACCAAGCAUCACAACAAUCUGAGAAUCCGUAAAUUCUCCUUCAACUACACGAAGCCUGAAAUUGCCUUGAGUUUUGGUCAUGGUUGGGUAUUUGUAUCGAGCAUAUGUUUGAGCCUCUUCGGCAGUUUCCUGAGGAGUUUCUGCAACCUAGACACAAUAAAGCAAGGUAAAUUUGAUAAAUUUGGUAUUUUAUUUUAAAAAGAAAAAAUAGAGAACACAAAUUUUGAGUAACACAAAUUAAACCCCAUAUCUAAUUUAUUAGAAUAUUUUCAUUUUCAGGUGCUGAAAGUCUUAACAUAAAACAAUAUAAAAGGUCGAAUAAAAACUACACUGUAGGUUCUUUCAUUAAAUUCUAAAUAAGUGACUUAUAUGCUCUUAUUAGCCCGUAAGUCUUUUAUUAUUUAUGAUUGAUUAACUUCUUGAAAACUUGGACAAACUACAAUAUCCAAUGAAAAGACAAUAUAAUAUCGCUCAAUAAGUUCCUAUACAUCAUUUAAGUUUUAAAUAAAAAAAUAUAAUGGCAAGUGAUUGGGGGGUUAUUUAGAAGAAAAACUAGGAAAACUCUAAACUAUAAAGACCUAAAUAAAAAUGCUAACAUACUAUAAGGACUUAGGAAUACAAAUUAAGCUAAUACAAAUGAUGCAACACAGAAGGAAAUAUUUGCUGUGUUUAUUUGAAUAAAAGAAUUUGCUGAAUAUAUUUAGAAACUAAUUACUUUCAGCACUACUUUACUCAAUUCUAUUUUUGAAAUGUAAAAACAAACACCACUGAAUAAAUCUCAGUGCUGAAAUUCACUUUCACACCAAAUUGGCUUUAAAUUCUGUCAAUGGGAGGUGGGAGAUAGAUUAUAUAAAUACCUUGAAGGUAAGAGAGUCCUCCCGAAACCUAAGAUUUUCUGUUGGAACAAAGCCAGACAAGAAGAUAUUAAUUCCUUCUCUGACUGAAAAAGGAAGUGUUACAACUCCAUAAGCACCAGGCUUGCCAUACAAACAGCAAAUAAAGUCUGAUAAGUAGUCCAAGACACUAAGAUCGUGCUCAACAACAAUUACAUAGCUGAAAAAAAGACAAAUUGCAAAUAAAAUAAAGAUUUAUCUUGACCGGAAAUCAAGGAGUACACAUAAUGAUGUUAACAAUACUUAUAGUCGAAAUUAACUGAGAAAUAAACAAACCUAUUAGGCCUUAGUAAUGAACGAACAACUUGUGCAGCUUUCAGCCUCUGUUUCACAUCAAGAUAACUGGAAGGUUCGUCAAACAUGUAUAUCUCAGCAUUUUGGAUGGCAACAACCGCAAUCGCAAACCUUUGGAGCUCACCCCCUGAAAGAUCACCAACAUUACGAUCUAUAACUUGAUUAAGUUCAAGAUCAGCACAGAGCUCUUCCUUCAUAUCUCUUUCAUUUUUUUGGUCUAGCACUUGCCCUACAUUUCCUUGCACUGCUUUUGGAAUGUGAUCAACAUACUGAGGCUUGAUGAUAGCCUGUAUAAUAAUAUAUUGAAAUAAGCACAUUUAGAAGACAGAAAAAAAAUUCAGUGACACGCUAUCUUAUGAAAACAAAUUACGAAAACAGCUCAAUUUAAAUUAAUGAACAUUCAGAAAACUGUAAGCACAACACAUGCUGGGCUAUCAAGUAAAGAUAAAAAUGUUUUUAAAAAAUAAGGGAUUCUGAAGUGAUUGUUAUAAUGCUACAUUUACUUCUAGUACAGAAUCAGUACUGAAACAUGAAAUCAUAUAUACUCCUUAUAUAAGACCCUCUAGUAAGAUUUUAUUGUCCCUCUUCAAAUUUCACAAGAUGCAUUAGUUAAAUAAAAAGAAUUAAAAGACCAGCCAUUUAGGCAAGAGAAUGUACAUUAUUGACAAAAUCAAUUAAUGUAAAAACUAGUUUUAUUAAUUCUUGUGUUUGGACCAAUAUGGUCUUACAUGCAGGGACAGAAGUAGUAACUAACUACAGAUUUCAAAGCUUCCAAUCAAUUUUUGUAUUCUCUAUAAUAAGGUCUUCCAAUCUGUAAUACUGAAUUACUUUGAUGAUAUGGUUAAUAAUAAUUCUUGUGUUUUGACCGAUAUGAUGGUCUUACAUACAGGGACAGAGGUAGUAACUAACUACAGAUUUCAAAGCUUCUAAACAAUGUUUCUAUUCUCUAUAAUAAGGUCUUCCAAUCUGUAAUACUGAAGUACUUUGAUGAUAUGGUUAAUAAUAAACUAACAGUAUCAAAGGUGAAUUUGGAUUUUUCCCAGGUCUGCAAACAUUAUCUAAGUUGUAGUAUCUUACCAGACACCUACUAGUAGUUACUUCUACAUAGCAAUGCCACAGAUACAACAUAUCAUUAUCUAAGUUGUAGUAUCUUACCAGACACCUACUAGUAGUUACUUCUACAUAGCAAUGCCACAGAUACAACAUAUUCCAGUCAAUGUCAACAUGAUAAACAAUGAAUUUGUGUACCCCUUCUCAACUAAAGAAAUUCUCCGGAAGGUUCAUAAUCAUUAAUAAAUAGUCUGGUUAAAGAAUAUAAAGAAUACAGAAAAACUAAUUUGUAACAGAAAAAAUUACAGGUUAGAGAAACACAUAAUCACUGUUUCAUACAGCGACCAAGUCAAAAUCAUUAAGAUAUCCCUGCACAUAUAAAUAAUGAUAUUGAAUAAGGACAUAGACAUCACCUUCAAAUCAUCCUCUAGAAUGCGAGUAAAGUAAUUCUGUAAUUCAGAUCCUCGAAAAUAGGUCAAAAUUUCCUGCCAAUCAGGGGGAUUCUACAAACAAAAAGCUAAGUUAAAAUGAAUGCAGUAAAACCUCACAAGUGUCUGACCAUAUUAAAUAGUUAAAAAAAAAACUAAUUAGGUUCUUACAGUGAAACGACCCAAGUUUGGCUUCAACUUUCCAGCCAAAACUUUGAGGGCGGUGGACUUCCCAAUUCCAUUUGUCCCAACCAAACCAAGCACUUGCCCCGGCCUAGGAACCGGCAACCUACAAUUACAACUCUUUCAAUAAAAAAACAAAGAAAAACAUUCUAACACGGACUUCUCAGGAAAACAAGCUGAAUUACACACCUGUGAAGCUUAAAAGUAUUAGGACCAUAUCUGUGAGUGGUGUCUUUGUCCAAAUCCUUAGGUAAGUUGAUAAUCUGGAUAGCUUCAAAAGGACAUUUCUACACCAAUGCAUAACCAACAACCAAACAAGCUCAUCAAUAUAAACCCCAAACCCAUCAUCAAACAAAGUAAAAACAAUAAGAUAAUGGAAUCUUCAAUACCUUAACACAAAUACCACAUCCAAUGCACAAUUCCUCAGAUAUGUAAGCAAUCUUUGAUUGAGAAGUAACCUCAAUACACAAUCUACCUGUAAUUACACAGAUAAUUACUCAGAUCAUCGAAAUUCGACACAACUCCAGAAAAUUACAACAGCAAAAAACUGAAUCUAAGGUUGAAGUGAAAAAAUGGAUCUUACCGGUUCUGACGACAGGGCAACUCUUCUUACACUCCUGACGACACUUUUUGGGCUUGCAUCUGUCGUUGCUGACGAUGGCAAUACGCGUCAAUCGAUCUGACAUGUUGCCCUACACCGCCUUAAUCGAUGAUUACACGAAGGUGGAGAUUGGGUGGUAGAGAGAAAGGCGUGUGCUUGAAACGCUCAAGCAGAAGGAGGUUUCAAAAAGGGGAAAAGGAAGGAUAAAGAAAAAGCAAAGCUAGGGUCCUUAAUCGAUGAUUACACGAAGGUGGAGAUUGGGUGGUAGAGAGAAAGGCGUGUGCUUGAAACGCUCAAGCAGAAGGAGGUUUCAAAAAGGGGAAAAGGAAGGAUAAAGAAAAAGCAAAGCUAGGGUUCCUUGCUUCAAUUUGCCACUGGAAUCGGGUUUGUGGGUCGGAUUAUCCAAUUUACACUGAUCUUUUAUAUCUUACUAUUGUGUUGGGCUUGUUAACAUCUUGCUGGGUUUAUACAAUAAACAUUAUUUUAUAGAUAUAUCAAUUAAAUUUUUAAAUUAGUAAUUAGACUAUUGCAAAGUACUGUAUGAGUCUAUUAUAAGUUGAAAUAUUUUAUAUUUAAAUAUUAUUUAAUUAUUAAUAUUUUAAUAAUUAUUAAAAUAUUAGUUAUAUUAAUUAUUUAUUAAAUUAAGAUAUUUAAUUUAUUUAGUCAUCAAACAAAGUUAACUAAAUUUUUUUUAAUGAGGAAAUUCCAUAAAAUAAAAGUAAGAUAACAAGAUAUAAAGGGGAAUCAAACUAAGAUCUUUAAUAAAUAAAAAGUUUACGUCUAAAGAUACUAUAUUUGUUCAGCAAGUAAUUAGUUUACAUCUUAUUAUGAACAAAAGUAAACCAAGUGAAAGAAGUACGAGUAAUAUCAAUAUUUGCAAGAGUAUCCGUAUAAGUAUUGUCUUUAUCCACUCGCAAAUGAUUUUUUACUAGUAGAAGCGACAAACUCUUAGCGACAACCUUCGUCUCUAUCCACUUUAUGAAAUAGUCAACUCCCGUAAUCAGAAAAUUCAAUUGCUUAGGUGCUAGAGGAAAUGAGCAUAUGUCCAUCUCACUAGUAAAAAGGUCAGGACGGUGUCAUGUAGUGAAAAAGCUAUUCGGGAGCGUGAUGCAGGGCAGCAUGUCUUUGACAUUGGUCACACUUUUUAACAAAAUACACAUUUUCUUUUAACAAGGUGGGCCAAUAGUAACCUUCCCUGAGUAGUUUAUGGGCGACAGCCUUGUCACCAAUGUGGUUGUCAUAUGCCGCUUGGCGAACUUUGGCAAAGACAAGAGUAAUUGCAUACUUCCCUGUACAUCGUAGCAUUAUGCAGGCUUUUCUCAUCUUGUAGAGUUUUCCCGACAUAAGGGUAUAUUUAGCACCCUGCUUUUGAAUACCUUGCGUGCAAUCAAUUUCGUUUAGAAAAUUGUAUAGUUUUGUAGAUCUUCAAAUCCAAUCAAAAUCUAAAGGAUUGUGAUCAACUCAACAAAACCUUUUUCAAGUGGUUUUCAUAAGGAUUAACUAAACGUAUUGAUUGCACAAUCGAUGAAUUCAAUAAUUUGCAAGUGAAAAAUAAGAGAGAGAGAGAGCGAGAGAGAGAGAGAGAGAGUACAUAAGGAUUUUUUAGGGUGCUCCCUAAUCGACCUCGUUAUGGGUACGUCUGUCCUCAAUUCAAACUCGAAUUGAGAUAAUGUAAUUAACCUUACUUUGCAAAGUAGAAUAUAAGAUAAAUGUAGCAAUUCAACCCCAAAAAUCCUAAGUUUGAUGUUGAUUCUAACACUUUUAUCUUCCCUUGAUUUAAGUUUCAUCAAAUAACCCAACAAUACUAAUUUGAUUCACAAUCUCAUGCUACUCCUUUGCAAGAACCUUUUGUUUUUCAAAGCUUUCACUCGAUUAAAUCCAAAUUAUUAACUUUUGUAACAUAAGAUUUCCCAAUAUGAUUCACCGUCCCACAUUACUCCUUUGCAAGAACCUUCCAUUUUUCAAAGUCUUCACUCAAUAAGAUCCAAACUGCGUAACCUUUUCCAAAACCUUCAAAUCUCUAAUCGAUCUUGAAGGGAAACCCCACAUUGGUUUUCGUAUUUGAAACCCUUAAAGAUAUCAACCCAAUUUACAAUUCAAUUAACCUAAAUUGGGCAUUAUCAACCGACUCUAUAUGGCACCCAAACAAAGAAUGAUUAUGUGUAGUUUGUUUGUGUGUAUGCAUAUAAUGAGGUUGAAGUUGACGAGAACACUUUGAAAUCCCGAUUUCAUGUAGUUUUACUCUAUAACCUUACUAGAAAUGAUGCAUGCGUGAAGUAUAUAUAGGUGUGCAAGUUGGAGGCAAAAAGGAACACAAAAGAUUUGAAAAGGAAUGCAAAUUUUAAAUAUUUUUAAUGCACGUGUCGACAUAUGUAAGUCAUGUGUCGACCUGUUCGAUGCAUGUGUUAACCUGUAUAAGUCAUAUGUCGACUUGUAUAGGUCAGUAGAGGCCUUACAUCAAAAAUAGACUACAUGCUUUAAAAAUGAGGUACAUGUGUCGACUUGUAACUUGUAUGUAUCGACGCAUAUGAACAUUUUUCUUCCAUAUGUCUACCUAUAGCAUGUAUGUGUCGACUUGUAUACUGUUUUUCCCAUAAAAACUUGUUUUUAAUGCAUGAAAUAUUUUCUAACUCAUUUCAAAAUAUUUUUAUGCUUCCUAAUGCUAAAAUUCACAUUAAGACUCAGAGUUCAAUAUACAUAAACGCUAAAGUAUCAUAGUUUUGAAGUCAGACAAAAUACUUCUAGCGGAAAGUUGCACUCGCAGUCUUUAUUAUCAUGUUGUUGACUUGGACUUCUAAUUUCUUCCAUAUCUAAUGGGAGAAUAUGGCAUGUCGUCUUGGGUGUGCCAAUAGGAUCAAUUUUAAUUUGGUUAUACACCGAAUAGGCAUCCAUUAAACUCAAUAUCUAGUAGCCCGAGCACCCAUCAAUCAGACGAUUAAUAUGCGACAGGGGUCAUGGGUCCUCCGGGAUAGGUUGUAUUGAGGUCGGUGAAAUAUAUGCACAUGCACCACCUAAUUGUUGCUUUCUUAAUCAUAAAAACAUUGGUUAUCCAUGUUGGGUUUUGUCUUUGUGAUGAAACCGACAUUUGCUAACUUUUAUACUUCCUCGUCGAUGACGACUAUCUUUUCUUUGCCAACUUUCCACUUUCUUUGAGACACCGAUCUCACAGAAAGCUCGACAACAAGGCGAUGGCACGCCACUCUAGUAUCUAUGUUUGACAUAUCAUAUGGAGUCCAAGCAAACAAGUUGAUGUUUCUUUUGAGUUAGUCGACUAGUCUGAACUUUCUUCUUCACAAAAUGAGGUGCCUAUCUUUGUUACAUGGUGAAUCAAAAGACCUAUCUGAACCUCCUUAAGAUCUUAUGUGGGUUUGAGCCUUUCAUUUUCCAUACCCAACAUGGGAUCCAGCAUGCGGUGUAUGUGUCUUAUGCUUUGGCAAAGGGGCUGCCUCGUCGGCGACAUCCUCACCCCUUAUUGUCAGGUUACAGUGGUAACACUCUUGGGUGUUUUCUUUGUCUCCUAGGACCAUUCAUAUUCUCAUACUGGGUAUCAAUUAUUUCAGGACCAGGUAUAUGGCGGAUAUAAUCAUCCUUAACAAGUUAAUGGUUGGCCUGCCAAGGAUGAUGUUAUAGGGCGAUAAAACGUCCACCACCAGGUAAUUGACUUCAAUUGCCUUGGGGUUUGAACCAAUGUUGCAGGUUGUUUCUAGGGUUAUGUGACAUUUUACUUGUACCUACUCGUAUAACAAGCCUAUCAGUAAACCCUAAAACGUCUUUAUGUUAAACUGUAGCUUUUGGAAGGUGCUCCAGAAUAAAAUGUCAAGUGAGCUUCCUGGGUCUAUCAAGAAUCCCUUGCUAUCACAAUUACCAUAUUGCCCAGUGAUGACCACAAGGUCGUUGUCUUGAGGGUGAACUCUGAUGGCGUCAAUGUUAGAGAAAACAAGUUUUGCCUUUGGUCAUCUCAAAGUGGCUUUGGAUAGGCCUAGGGAUAUCACAUUCACAGUUAACACUUGUUUGGCCUAUUUCCUUUGGGAGGAGAUGGAAUAUCAUAUGCUGGUGAAACCUCUAACAAUGGUGUUAACCAUAAAUCUUACAUCUUUCUUGGCUAUUUUUGGGAGAAGGUAAUAAAAAUGGUUGUGAUAAUGGAAAGUGUGGCUCAUAUCUGUUUUACCGUGUCCCUAUAUUGGUAGGGUGACUAGAGGCUUUAGGGAUUUUCGGUGGUUUUAGGGCAAGCUCACAGUGGUGAGUGACCAAAUUUUAAGGUGAUUUUGGCGUGGAGAGAGAAAGCUCGUAUGAGGUGAGAAGCUCCGUGUCUUGUGGGGUCUUUUAUGUGUAUAUUGAAUUCUCAUUCAUCGUUACAUGGAUAAGAUAUUUAUAAAGUCCAAUGGGCCUGCACUUAGGGUUUCUUGAGAAUGACAAUCGCCCACCUAGUCAUGGUAGUGUACAGUUGAAUCCUUGUUUACUAUGAAGACAUGGUUUAAUCUCUUUAUGUGAGACUCUCUCUGACCAAGAUUUGUCAUUUCACAUGUUCCCUUAUACAUGGAGAGUGAGGAGUGUCUCAUGCGAGGUUAUCCCCAAUAUUGGUGGUAAGAGGAUAUCACAUCAUGCUGGUGGCAUAGUCUCAUUUUCCCUUGGUGGUCCUUCACGAAUAUAUCACUACACGUAUAAACCUUAUCUCACUAAGAAAGUUAGAUGAUGUUGGUCUGAUCAAUAAAUCUGAAAGUGGAAGACAGAGUCUCAAUAAAUAAAUCAUGAUUAUUUCUUGUGGGAAAAAUCAAGACUAGUUGUAUAUUACGCGACUCAAACAACUAAGUUACAUGUGGGAAAAUCAAGACUAAUUGUAAAUAAAUCAUGAUUAUUUCUUUGUGGGAAAAAUCAAGACUAGUGAUUGUUUCUUGUGGAAAAAAUCAAGACAAAUGACAAAUAAGGGAGACAUCAAUGUAUCUAAAACCAUAAGAAAAUAUAUGUAGCUCAAACAACUAUGCCACAUGAGUUAUAAAGGUUUAUAGAUUCUUAAGAAGAAACAUAUUUCAAUCAUAAAGAGGAAACACCUGAAUCUUGUGAAGACUUUCUAGUAGUCAAGCAAAACAUAUUGUUGUUUCAAAGAUCAAAUGGGGAGAGAAAAAGAAAUAAAAUUACAGAUUGUGUGUUACCUAAAUGUGUGCUCAACAUCUGAAAGGUCCAUUGGUGGUAUUAAAUACUUUGUUACCUUCAUUGAAAAUCACUCAAGUUAGACAUGAAUGUAUCAAUUUUAUACGAAAUAUAAUUUUUUUAACAUUUCCAAAGAGUUUCAUGCUUAAGUAUAACUAGGGCCCAUUUGGGUAUUAGUGUAAGAGUCAUGGAAUUUUACAUAAGAAAGUACCUCUCAAUACUCAUAAAUGAAUUGUUUACCAGAUAGAACGAACAUGAAUAUUCAGUUAGGGAAGCAAAAAUGCUUGAUGAAAUCAUGGAGGAAAGCCUUGAUAUGGUGAACUUGAAAUCCAAUACAAUGUCGCUAGGGUGUAAAAUGAGUUAUGGAUUGGAAAAAGAAUACCUAAAGUCUCAUGUGCUUUGUCUUAUAUAUGAAUUAUAAUUAUGGAUGCUCUCUAACAUCUUGGCAUGGAAUGCAGGAGCCAGUAUGAUGAUAUCUAACGAUAGGUAACAACCCAUGUCAUAGAUCCAAUGUAUAGUUUUAGGGUAGUGUUACAUUGUGCCUUCGGUGCUUUUGUGGAAUGGCUAAGAUUGAUAAUUGAGCUAUAUUCUUUGGGGAUAGUGGCAUACCCAGAACAAUUGCUCCUAAGGCCUUUUGUGAUGCAACAAUAAGAAGUAUUUAAGAAAACUAGGCCAGGUUUAUCGUGAUAGAUCCAUCACUUGGAGAAGUGGGAAAGAUUUGGGAGCCACCACGAGUGACCUUGGGAGCAUGUUCAUUAAAUGUUAGUCUUAUCAUUGAAACGUCUAGCAUGAUUUCUCUUACAUUCGACCUUAGUUCUUUAGACUAGGGCGCGACACUUUCCUCCAGCAUGCUCAAGUGUACUCGGAUAUCGUUAUGAUACCGAGGCAAAUCCAACUGAUAUUUUUAUUCCGCUCAUUUUCUUUUAUUAGAUUCUGUUGAUUUACCUGUCUCGCCUCAAUAUAUAAAUAUUGGUUCACCUUUCUUACCACGUUUCCACUCUUUGCAGAAAUUACAAUUUUUUUUUCCUUAUAAAAACCUUAAUAUCUUUCUCAUGGGCUAUAAUGAUUUAUGUUCUAUUUGUCUUCUUUUUCUUCUUUAGAUCCUACAUUUUCUCGAUUCAUCGCAUCCUCGUAACUAUUCUUUGUUUUAAUCGUUCCUGCAAACUUAAACUCUUUCAGGUACCAUUUCUCUCAUCGUUUACCACUUGCCAUUUCUCCCUUCCUUGUUUUACCCAUGACUAAUAUGGGAGAUGACCCUACAAAUAUUCUUGAUAUAUCUAGAGAUACAGAUGUUGCCUCAUCUCGUACUAAAAUAAUAAAUCCAAAAAUAUUAAAUAUCGUUUUUUAGAAUAGAAUCAACCUAUUACCAACUUGAUUGUUCUAGAUGACAAUUCUAAUUCUAGUGGAAUUCUAUCGAAGAUGAUAAUGAACCAUUAAAUAUCCAUUGUGGUUCUCCCAUAUUUUUUAAGUAAUUAGUUGUGUGUAGAAGGUAGAGAUCCUCGUUAAUAUCUGAAAAAAAUUAUAUAUAUCACUAUGACUAAAAUAAUAUUUAAAAAAAAAAUGGAAAAUACAAGUCGCAGAAAUGAAAACGUGGAGGAUGGAAAAUACAAGUCGCAGAAAUGAAAACGUGGAGGAAAGAACGGUGGAUGUAAGAUAGAACUUUCCCCGUAAGAAAACCAAGAACGAGUGGCGCAUAUGUGAUGCGAUGCGAGUGACAGUGAAAUCGUAACACAAUCAAACUCAACAAAAAGAGAGAGAACAUGUCUUCAUCGUUUCCACUCAACACCAAUGUCUUUCUCUAUCUCUAGCUUUUCCACUCUCACCACCACGCUUCCCUCUUUCAGAUUCAAAGUCUCCGCCAUGGUUUCCACCACCACUAGAGUUGUUCCCGCCGUCAUUAUCGGCGGUGGAAGAGUCGGAAAGGCUUUGCAAGAUUUGGGAGAAGGUCAAGACGUUCUCGUAAAACGUGGAGAAUCAAUUCCUCUUGAUUUCGAAGGUCCUAUUUUGGUUUGUACUAGAAAUGAUGAUCUUGAUUCUGUGCUUCAAUACACUCCUCUUUCCAGAUGGAACGGUAUAAUACUACACCAUCUUCUUUUCUUUCUUUCCAACUAGUUACAUUUUCUUAAUUUUUUAGUAAGCUAUAUCAUGUUUUCAUAAGCUAUUCUCAAGAGCUUAUAAAAAUAAGCUGAAAAUAGUUUAUAGAUAGAUAAACUAAAAUAAGUUAAUCCAAACAUGUUCUUAGUUCUAUAAGUAUUGCAUUCUUUAGGCUUGUUUGGAUAAACAUCUGAAUUAAGUGCUUAUAACAUGAUUUUAUAUCAUAUAAGUGUUUAAGCAUAAACUAUCUUGGAGAGAUUAUAGAAAUAAUAUGAAACAAGCUUAUGGACAUGUAAUAAGCUUUUGCGUAAGCUCUCCUAAAGAGUCUCACACAUGUUUAUGCAAACAGAUAAAUUCAAAUAAGUCGAUCUAAAUGUUAUUGUGGAUUGGUGUGGCAGAUUUGGUGUUUUUCCAGAAUGGAAUGUUGGAACCAUGGCUUGAGAGUAAAGGUUUGAAGGAAGGGAACCAAGUGUUAGCGUAUUUUGCCGUGUCAAAACUCGGAGAGGCCCCUACUGAUGGUAAGACUGAUACGAAUCCUGAAGGAUUGACAGCUGCUUAUGGAAAGUGGUCUUUGGCUGUUUCUGAAAGAUUGCUAGCCGGAGGCCUCUCUUGCAAGGUAAUGUCUUACCACUAGCAAGGUUUUCUUGUUUCCGUUUCUUCGUUAUAAACAUACUUUAAUGAUAUCAUGUGUUGAUCGGCGUUGAAAGCCAGGUUCUGGAGAAGGAAGCAUUUCAAAAGCAGAUGUUAGAAAAGCUCAUAUGGAUUUGUUCUGUCAUGCUUGUUGGAGCACGUCACGGAGGGGUUUCUGUUGGUAUUGUGGAAAACGAAUUCCGUUCCGAGGUAAGCUUUGUUAUUCUCAUUAUCUCAAAAUCAAUAUGCUUAGAAAGACAAUAAGCAGAACUGAAGUAACUGAUAUUUACACUUUCAGUUAUGUAGCCUGAUAGCUGAGCUAGCCUCAGCAGCCGCAAGUGAAAAGGGGUUAACAUUUGAAGAAGCCAUUGAAGAACGAUUGUGUGCGUAUUCUCGAGCCGUUGCUCAUUUUCCCACAGCAGUUAAGGAGGUAAAAAGUUGAAAUAUUUAUCAUAUUUGCAAUGCCAAACAGUAGCAGACAUAGAUACAACCAUAUCGAUAGUAUGAGAAUAAAUUUGAAGAAACCGCGAUUGAGAAUAGUGAUAUAUUUGUUAAUGAUUAACAAUGUUUGCAGUUCAAAUGGAGAAAUGGUUGGUUUUAUUCUCUUUCUGAGAAAGCUACUGCCCAAGGCAAGCAGGAUCCAUGUCCUCUGCAUACUCAAUGGCUCAAAGAGUUGAAAGUUGUAUGAAACAUGAAGUUGAAAAACUCUGAUUCAUGUGUCACUAGGUUACCAGCUUCCAAGGAGUAUAUUAAUCAGAUGAAUAUAAAAUUAAUGAUAGUCCAUAUUUUGUAUCCUUUCAUCAUGGAUAAUUGCUAAGUAAAACAAGGUUUGUGUUUUAGAAAUGAGAUGAGAGAUUUUAGAAACAUUUAAAACAAAUGUGGGAGAGGCUAUAUUUUGUGGUCCUUCAAAUGCUUUCAACAAGAAAAUUUUACAUUCAAAGUCCUUAUGGCUCCUCAUUUUCAUUAGAUCCCCAAUUUGAAAAAUGUUUUUCAAAUUUCACUUCCUAAUGUAUGGGGGGCAAAAAAAAAAGGAGUUAUCUAGAAUUUGUUCAAACUCAAUGCACAUGUCAAAAGUUGGAAUUUAGGAAAAAUCAUGGGAAUAGUAGGGCCAAUUGGAGGAUAAAGAGGAAUAUAUAUUUAUAGACUAUAUAAAAUCACCCUCAAUAUAUGUUUUGUUACUGUUCUCUCUUCAUUUUAGAUGAUUACUUAAAUUUCUUUUAACUUUUAAAAGAUAAUAUUUUUGUUAAUUUAUUUUGUUUAAAUUAUGCAAUAAGUUUUUAUAUAAUAAAUACAAACAUUUAAAUUAACAAAACACAAGUCAAUUCAACAAAAUUAUACUAUCCGUUUUUUUAUUAUAAAUAGUUUUUAACUUUAAGAAAAAUAAUAAUUAUUGUAUGAAAAUGUGAAAUUAUGAAUGUUUUUACAAAAUUGUCUUUUAUUAAUGAUAUGGAAAAAAUAAAUUUGUAUAAUUGAAAGGAGAGAGAAUAAAAAUUUUUUAAGAUAUAAUAGAAAAAAUAACAUGUAAAAUGAUUUAUAUUGUGGUAUACUUUUUUUUUUCAAAACAAAUUUAUAAUAAAAAACAGAGUAAGUAAUAUAUUAAAGUAUGUUGUAAUUACUUAACUUACUUAAUUGGUUGAAAUUUCACUUUUAAAAGCACUUUAUACACCUAUCAAUUAAGUUGUACUACACAUAAAAAAAUCAAAAUAUAUAAAUCAAAGCACAAAUUGUAUAUGAAGUAAUUUUUUAAAGAUCGGUUAGUAAAUAGUGCGUGGUUGAUUUUAUUUUUGGAUAAAUUAAAAUUUAUUAAGAAUGUAAAAUUUUGACAUUUAAUAAAACUUAAUUUGCUUUUAAAAUUGAUUUUAAUUUGAAGCUAUAAAUUAAGAUUUUUUACAUCUAAAUUUUGUACUCAACUCAUUUUUAUAUAAGUGUAUUAAAUUAUAAAUUAAUUUAUAUUUGAUUUAUUUUUAGUCAAAACCAAUUCACUUAAAAAAAAAUUAAAUCAAAUCAUACACAUAAUUAAAAUGUGAAUUCAUCAUCUCAAGGCCAAUGCAGACCUGUUUGCAUGCUUCUCGGAAGAGAUAUCGGUUAUUGACUUCAGUGUAACAUGCCAACAACAUAACAUCAAUCUUUCUAAAAGAUUCCUCACACUUCGAAUGAUUAUAAAAUGUUACGAAGGCAAGUGAUAAGUGACACAUAUGUGUCGACUAUAUUGAUAUAAACAUAGUUUGUGUUAAAACGCAUAUCAUAUGUUCAACAUAUACAAGUAUACUUGUAGAUAAGUAUGUUGUACAAGCUCUUAUCCUUCUUGGAUGCAUAUUCUAUAUACAAUCAGAUUCCGGCGCAUAAGAAAUACUAAAACAAGAUGUCAUUCAUGACAAAACACACCAAUUGCAUGUAUAAUGUCGUGUCUUUUGGUUUAAAAAAUGCACGUGGGACCUACCAGAGGAUGAUAAAUGAGAUCUUUAAGGAAGAAAUUUGAGACACGUUGGAGGUUAACAUGGACAAUAUGAUAGUUAAAUCCAUAGAGCAUAAACUAUACAAAAAAUCACCUCACAACUGUGUACGUCAGUUUAACAAGAGAUUGAACCCAAAAAUGCAUUUUCAUAGUCAAAAUCGACAAGUUCCUCAAACUCCACAUCAUUGGAAUAAGAGUUGAAGAAAAUCCGAAUAACCGUGACACCAUCAUUAAGAUGAAAAAAAACCCACCAAAGAAAGAAUAAUGAAUUUGAACGAUAUGUUCACCGUCCUAAACAAAUUUAUCUCCAUGUCUGCUUAGCAUGCCAUUCCAUUCUACAAAAUCCUAAGAAAUGGGAUAUACUUUCAACAAAUGUCAAAGUGCGAAGAAGUAUUCACACAAUUAAAGCACAUUAUCUCCAAACCCUCGGUCCUGUCGAGGCCCGUAAUCUAUUGGAACAAAAGGGUUUUCAAGAAAGAUGAUAGAAGAAGAAGAAGGGAGAAAAAAUAUAAACCUACUUAUAGAAAAUUAUUAUUGCUAUAUUGAGUGAAGUUGUUAGGAUUUCAUACAAUGCCUUUAUAUAUGUAACUAAAUCUCGUGCCCAAAACUAUACAAGUAGACCCAAGCCCAAAACUAUACAAAAUGCAAAGUACAAAACUAUAAGUCACAUUUCGAUAUAACAAAUAUAUGUUGUAACUGACUCCUACAUCUCUACUAGCUACUUCGGCACAGUCGAAUGCUAGCUUUCAACAGAAUAUUGAAUUACAACUUCUAACACCCCCAUAAUUCAUGUUUUUGAGACUUCUCGUUCGGAUGCUUCUCUUCAACUCGUCAAAUCUGACUUUCUUCAGGGGUUUGAUGAGUAUGUCAGCUAGUUGCCAUUAUGUUCUGCAAUGCUCAAGUUCAAGCUUUCCUUUGUUAACUUGAUUCCUAAGAAAAUGAUACAUCUUCUCUACGUGUUUACAUCGACCAUGACACACGAGGUGAUUCGUCAGUCGAUACCUGACUUAUUGUUAGUAAACAACUUUAUUUUCAUAUGGUUCCAUUAUCUUGAGUUCUCCAAGCAACAUAUCUAUCCAUGAUGCUUGACAUACUGCCUAUGAUGCGACCAUAUACUCAACUUCACAUGAUGACAAAGCCACAACAUUUUGCUUCCUUGAGCUCCAAGAUAUUGGAGCACUUUCGAUCAUGAAUAUGUAGUUUGCAGUAGUCUUCUUCUCGUCACGACUCCACUUAAAUCUGAAUUAGUGUAGCCAUAUACCUCUGAUAUGUGCUGGUAUUCUUUUGGAUUCGCAUCAACACACCGUGAUCAAUCGUACAUUUGAUGUAUCUCAACACUCUCUUGACUGUAGUGAGAUGACAUUCUUAGGGCUUCUCUACGAAUAUGCUCAAUAAUCUGACACUUUAACAAAUAUUUGGCAUGGUAUUGGAAAGAUACCUAAAGGAUCCAAUGAUUUGUUUGUACAAUGUUUCAUUUACAAACUCAUCAUUUAUAUCCCCCCAACUUUGCUCCAAUUUCUAAUGGCGUAGCAACUGUGUUACGGUUGCUCUUCUUGAACAUCUUCGAGAUAUCUUAAGAAUACUUCUUCUAGUGCAUGAACACUCAUUCCCCUGUGUCUUUGAAUUCCAUCACUGAGAAAUACGACAAAUUCCCUAUGUCGGACAUUUCAAAUUCAUGCAUCAACUUUGAUUUGACUUUUCUUAUAUAUGCUUUAUAUGCACCUGUAAUCAACAAGUCAUUUACAUACAAACAUAAGAUGAUUCAACUGACCUUGUUUGCAUCAUUGACACACACUCCAUAUUUAGAGAUACAUUUUGUGAAACGUGUUUCGAUAAGGAAGUUAUAUAUUCUCUUGUUCCAACAUCUUGGGGCUUUCUUUAAACCAUAUAAUGCCUUCCUCAAACUAUACACCUCUAGACUCAUGCCCUUUGAUUUUGAAUCCUGAUGGUUGACUGAUAUAGACUUCUUAUUCCAGAGGUCUAUUUAUAAAUGUUGACUUUACAUCCAAUUGAUGUAUCUUCCACCUUCUACAUGCUAUCGUCGACACAACAAUUAUGAUUUCUCUAGCCUUGUAACAUGUGCGUAGACUUCGUCGAAAUUAAUACUAGGUUUUUGCAGAAAACCUCUCGCCAUUAAUCUUGCAUUGUGUUUGACAAUUUCAUUAUUUGACCUUCUUUUCAGCUUGUAAGACCACUUCACAUCAAUUGGCUUCUUGAUUGACUAUUCAACAAGCUCUCAUAUCUUAUUAUUCUCAAUUUCCAUGAGUUCUUAUUUCAUGGAUGCUGACCAAUUUAAAUCAUUCAUAGCUCGAUCCAAAUUAAUUGGUUAUGCUUCAACCAUCAUCGUCGCUUCUUCUAUUAAGUCACCAUCUGCAAUGAUUGCUUGAUUUAAAAAUCUCCCAUAUCCAGCUAGCCUUGUCGAUUAAGUUCUUUCUCUAGUCGAUCUUCUAACAUUAUGCUCAGGUGGUUCUACAUUUCAAUUGGAUGUGGCUUCAGUUUGUUGGUAUUCUCCAAACACACUUGUAAUUGUAUAUGACUCCUGUCGAACUGAUAUGACUCUAAUCCCACCCUUUGCUUUAAUCCACUAGAACAUCUAGACUGACCACAAGUUUAUCAUCAUUUGGUGAAUACAACUUGUAUGCAUAAAUCAAAUGAUAUACUAUGAGCACCAUAGUCUGCGUUCGAUCAUUUAGUUUCUUCCUUAAUUGUUCAGGUACAUGCCUGAAGCACAUUGAUCAAAACACUAUAAGAUGACUAACAUUCAACUUCACAUAUGUCCAAGCCUCAUAAGGAGUCCUCUCGAAUAUAUUAUUGGUUUAACAUCUGUUUAGAAUGUAUACUACUGUUGAAGUUGUUUCACCCUAAAAUCUCUUUGGCAUAUUUUUAGCUUUCAACAUGCUCCUAGUCAUGUUCAACAUACUCUGACUCAUCCUCUCAACUAUGCCAUUAUGCUGAGGUGUAUAGGAUGCAAUGAGAUCAUGCUUUAUACCUUCCUUAUUACAAAAUCUAGCAAAUUCUCGAGAAGUGAAUUCACCACCACCAUUAGUUCCUAGUUUCUUCGACUUGCAUCCACUUUGUUUCUCGACAUGCAAUUUGAACUUCUUGAAUUGUGUGAAUACCUCACUAUUCUUUCAAUAAGAUAAAUCCAUAUUUAUCUGAUGAAUUCAUCUAUGAAUGUUAGGAAAUAGUAGUUACCUCAAUUCGAACUUACUUUAAAUGGUCCACAUACAUGAGAGUGAACUAGCUUAAGCUUUUCCUUCGAUCUCAUUGGCAGGUCAUGCUUGAAUGCUUUCCUAGCCUGGUUUGCUUUGCAACAUUCCUCACACACCCAACUUGGUUCUUUAAACUGAGGUAAGUCGUAAACCAUCUUCUUCUGAUUGAGCAUACAUAAACUUCUGAAUUAGAUGUCCAUACCUGUGAUGCCAUAACCAAAUUUUGUCUUCUUCUGCAGUUUUUGUCUCACAUACCUUACUUGAUUCUCUCACCAGAGGUAAGUCAUACAUUGUAUUCUUUGUGUUGAUCUAUACUUUGAAGGUCGUGUUAUAUGCCAAUUAUGCCUUAAGAAUUAACCUUCAAUCACCAUGAUACACCUUCAUCUGAUUCAUGUGUACCCUUUUGCGAGUAGUUGACAUACGCUUAUCAAGUUACUUGUCAUCGAAGAUACAUACAACACAUCAGUGAUGCUGGAUUUUGACCAUCCUUUUCUAACAACAAAGACAUAUCAUAUCCACAUGAUGUGAUGUGACCACCAUCUCCAAACUUUAUCACUUUCUAAACUGAUUUAUCUAGCUUGGUGAACCAGUUUUUAUUACCAGUCAUGUGGUUACUGCAUCCUGAAUCCAGGUACCACAUGUUAUUUUGCUCAGUGUCCGACUGAGUGUUGGCCAUGAUUAGAACAUCAUUAGAAUCACCAUCUUUAGCAUGUGCAUACUGCACUUCAUCGUUAUCUUUUGCCCGUGCUUCAUUCUUUCUUCAAUAGUCUCAAGCAUACUGGCCAAAUCUUUGGCAGUUAUAACAUUACACAUCUGUUAUGUCAAUUUUCUUCCCAUAAUACUUGUUGCACAUGCCUUCUUGAUCAAAUCAGAAUGAUUCUUUGAAUUCUUGUCUGACUUCUCAUCAUUAGCAAUAUUCUUUCCAUGUUUCGCCUUCUCUUUCCCAAAUUUCUUGAUAAAUAUUUCUUGUAGUGCCUGUUUAGUCACCUCUUCCCUUUUUUAGUUCCUCUGCUUCAGUCUCAUCUCAUGAACCUCUAAUGAAGCUUGUAGUUCUUCCAACUUCAUCUCAGAUGAAUUCUUGGACUCUUCAAUUGACACUACAAUAUAGUCAAAAUUUGUAGCCAGAGAUCUAAACACUUUCUCAAUCUUCUGCAAAUCGUUGAUUAAUUCACCACACACCUUCAUUUGUCUUCUUAACAACACCACACAUGAAAGGUAUCCGAGAUUGAUUCAUCUUCCUUCAUAUAAGUAAUCAUUCCUUUUAAAAUCAGUAGUCUAUAGAAACCACGUCCCAUGUUAAAUCAACAACUGAGACAAAAACGUUUGGCAUGUUGCCCUUUUUGUAAUAGACAGUUGGCGUCAGAGACGAAAAUCAAAAGGAUCUUAACAUUCAAGGACUAUUAGAAAAAAAAUACAAGGACGAAAACCAAAAUCUUACCAACUUACAUGGACAAAUGACAUAUUUAAACCAUAAUAUAAAGUAAAAUAAAUAUAUUUUUAAUGGGAGAAUAAAAAAUAUUUUUAAAGAGAAUUUUACGAAGCAACUCUUCCUCUAUUUUUUAUCUCUUAUGUAAUUUUCACUUUAUCUUCCUUCAUUUUUAUGCUCUUAUGUUCUUUCCCUUACUUUCAAUUUAAGUUCACUCAUACUACAUUAUAUAUAUAUAUGGCUAAAUCGUAGUUCUCUAUCUCUCAUUUUCAUACAAAUAUCUUUAUUUCUGUUUAAUUGAUUUUUUUCUACCACAUUUCAAUAUGUUUUUGUUUGUAAGAUUGUUGGGGCAUGUCAUUUAUUUCAUUUAUUUUUUGAAAGAGUUGUUUGAUUCAUGAUUAAUGGAAUUAUAUGUCUAAUAUUUUGAUUCUCAAUUUUACAUGUUUUUUGUUACUAUUGGUAAAUAGAUGAAAUUAUAUGUCUAACAUUUUGAUUCUCAAUUUCACAAUUUUUUUAUUACUAUUGUUGAAUAGAUAAAAUUAUAUGUCUAAACAUUUUGAUUCUCAAUUUUAACAUUUUUUAUUACAAUUGGCGAAUAGAUAAAAUAGUGUCUAACAUUUUGAUUUAUUGAUUUGACUGGUUUGAAUGACAGUGAAAUGUUUUAGAUGUAAUUAGAUUUUGUUACACAUCUCUUACUUAUACACCAUAUAUCUUUUUCAAUUUUUAUAAAUAAAAAAAAAUACUGUUUUUCAUUAUUGCGUGUUGUUAAAUUUCUAAGAUGAGUAAAGAUAACAUAGAAGGAAGUAAAUUUGAUUACCAUACUAUUAUUUUAUUCUCUUAUUUUACGGUUGACUACAAAAUUUAAAUAUAAUUUUUUAAAUAUAUUCUGUGUUAUGUUUUUUUUAAUACAAAUUGAGAAGAAUCAUAAUAGACGACAAAAUUCUUUUUAAAAAAAUUUAACAUUAUUACAUGUUUAAAAUUGAAUUUAAAUCAAUAUCUCUUAUUAAACGGAAAGAGACCUAAUUAUCUCAAUCAAAUAUUUUUAUUUUUUUUUCAAAAGUGUCCGUUCAGGUAGUUAGACUCAUGAGAUGAGUCAGUCUAACACAAUGUCUUUUUGUCUAAGACCAAAGAAAAUUGAGUUUUUGACCCAUGUUUCAACUUCGAGUGAAUAUCUCUGAUUAAACUGAAAGAGAUCUAACUAUCUCAAUCAAAUACUCAUAAUUUUCUUUUAAAAGUGUCUGUUCAAGUAGUUAGACUCACGGAUCGGUCUAACAUGGUGUCCUUUUGUCUAUGACCAACGAAAAUUGAGUUUUUGACUCAUCUUUCAUCCUUGAGUGGAGACAUCUAGAUAAUGAAACUAUUGAUUUUUUAAAUAAAAUAUUUUUAUGUAAUUUUACAUUAAUUAUUUAAUAUAACUGCUAAUUUUUCAAAUUUAAAUUAACUCAUGAGGACAAAUUAUCUGCUAACUAAAUUGAGUCCAAAUUUAAAACCAAUCUUCUAAAAAAAACUUAAUUAACUAUAUUUAAUGCAAUAUCUCCUCCCAAUUAUACAUUUUUUCCAUUCAAAAAUCUAAAACGGAAAACCUCCCAUUAAAAUUACUAAUUAAUAUAAACAUUUUUCAACUUUUAAAUUAAUUGAAAUUAAAAGUUUUAAUGAUACAUAAAAAAAAAAAGUACUCUAUCUCCUUUCUAUACUCUUCCUGUACAUGAACUCAUCAAAAUAAAUUUCUAUAUCUAUCUAUUUGUACCUUAUAUAGAAAUUGAAAUAAAUGAAAUUCAAUAAACAAACAUAUAAUAUACAAACACGUGUCAUGAAAUGAUACGAUUCAAUGCAUUUUCUAUUUUUUUAUUAUUUUAAUUUUAAUUUCUAUUUUCUUACAUAGCGAAACCAAACAUACUCUUCUGAACUUAACUCAAUUCAACUCAAACCUCAGUCUCACAAAUCACAAACAACAACACAACAACAACCUUAGAUUCUCCGAAUCACCAAUUCUUUCUUUCUUUACUCUAUAAAACAACAACAUCACUCUCUUGUUUUUUUUCCUAAACUUGUUCUUCCAGAUUUCAUUUAGGUAUGUUAUAUUUAUACCCUUUUCGUUUUCUCUCUUCUCUCUUAGAUCCUUUCAAUUUCAAUUCUUUUUUCUUGAUCUUGUUUAUGGAGAAAAUUAACAUAACAUUAGACUCAUUGCUUUUGAGAUCCCAAUUUCAUUUUUAGAUCCUUAUUUUUACUUAAUUUUCUGUUCAUAAACUUGACUUUUUACUCGCAUUGUUGCUGCUUGUAAUUUUGUUUUUCAUUGGAUGCUUGUUUUCAUGCUUGAUUUAUGGGUUGAAUAUUCAUGGAAGCUUCCUUUUUCAAUUAUUUACUUGAUUUGUCAAUUUAAUGCCAACUUUUAAUUAUAAUUUAUCUGUGACUUGUUCAAUUUUUUUAAUAUCAAAAACUGGAUCAGGGUCCCUUGUUUAUUCAUUUUAUAGAUUCCCACACGUUUGAAAAUAUCUUCUGGAUGUUGACAUUGUGUUAAUCUUUUCUGCAAAAAGCUCGAGAAUUUGUCCCUUUGUGAACCAAUGAAUGUUCACUUACAUGAAAUUUUCUGAGUAUAAACUUUAGGGUUAGUUUUCCUUAUUCAAUAAUCUAUGCAUGAGAUUUGUGUGGGAGGAUAGUGGUUAUGAUAGAAUCUGUGUUCAUGAUGAUUUAUAGACAUGCCCUUUUUUGUAUAGGUAUGUAAUUAUUUUAGAAUUAAAACUGAUGAACAUGUAUGUUCUAUUGGUUUUUGCUUUUUCUAGUGAUUCUUUGUCUUCUGGUGAUGGUGUUGGCGAGUUGAUAUGCUAUUUUUCUUCAUUUGUAUGUGUGUGGUUGCGUGUUGAACCUGCUAUGAAGUUGGCUAUCGUAUACGUUGAUUCUUGUUCACCUCGCGCGUGUUAGUUUUUAACACAACUCACUAUGUUUCAAGGCUUUCGUUGGCGGUAGUGUAUGUUAGAUUCAUGUCAAUUAAGAAUAUAAGGCGCCGGAAUUUGUUAUAAUGCUUGAUGUUUUUCUCAUCAUUAUUUGAGUUUUGUUUUUUUCAUGAGUCGUAUACUUUUUCUGUUACUGUUUUUCUGUUACGUGACAUGGAAAUUUAUUUAAAACAACUGAGUUUAGUUGAUUUGAUCACUAAUUCUAUAUGUUUUGUGGAUUUUAAUUUUGAAAUUUUCAGUAUUGGUUCGACAGUUUAACCUGUCCAGCACCGGCUUCUGGUAGUACAAUUGUGCUAGUUCUCGGAAGAGUUCUUCCAUAAAAGGUAGAUGGGUUCUAGAAUCCCAUCUCAUCAGCUUAGUAAUGGCCUAUAUGUAUCGGGCCGGCCAGAGCAGCCGAAAGAAAGGGUUCCAACGAUGUCCUCCGCAGCCAUGCCAUAUACCGGCGGAGACAUUAAAAAGUCGGGGGAAUUAGGAAAAAUGUUUGAUAUUCCUGUUGAUGGCUCAAAGUCCAGAAAGUCUGGACCGUUAGCAGGUGCACCGUCACGAGCAACAUCUUUCGGAGGAGCCGGUUCACAUUCCGGACCAAUUCAUCCUAAUGCUGCUGCUCGAGCUAUCUAUACUACUUCAGGUUCCAUGUCUAUUGGUGGCGCGGCUGGUUCAACUUCACAAAAGAAAUCGAAUUCCGGGCCGCUGAGUAAGCACGGGGAACCGGUUAAAAGGUCUUCCGGUCCUCAGUCUGGUGGAGUAACUCCAACUGGACGUCAAAAUUCCGGACCUCUUGCCCCUGUUCUUCCGACAACAGGUCUCAUUACAUCGGGGCCUAUAUCGUCUGGCCCACUAAACUCUUCUGGUGCUCCUAGGAAAGUGUCCGGUCCUUUGGAAGCGACAGGUUCAAUGAAGCUGCAAGGUUCUGCUGCUGCCGUUCACAAUCAAGCUGUGACUGUUCUUAGUCAAGGUGAUGAAUACUCCUUCAGAAGGAAUUUUCCAAAGGCCAUGUUAUGGUUAUUAAUUCUGCUUUUUGUCAUGGGUUUCAUUGCUGGCGGUUUUAUUCUUGGAGCCGUGCACAAUCCCAUUCUCCUUAUUGUGGUUGUGAUUCUCUUUGGUUUAGUUGCCGCGUCUUUCACUUGGAACACUUAUUGGGGAAGAAGAGCUAUAAUGGGAUUCGUUGCUAAUUAUCCGGACUCCGAGCUUAGAACUGCAAAGAAUGGGCAAUUUGUGAAGGUUUCCGGGGUAAGCUUUGCUUCUCUUGCUUAACUCAUCGGCUAUUAUUGAAAUGCGCAUCUUCUCGUAAUGGAUUUAUAUUCUCUAUGUCAUAUAUGUUACCCUGCUAAUUUCAAAUGUUUUAUUUACGCGUGAGUUUGCAUUAUAAACUAUUCUUCGUCAGUUUAGAGGUGUUUUGUUUGUCCGUGGCAUUGUAGGUUGUUACUUGCGGUAAUGUACCUCUCGAGUCAUCUUUCCAAAAAGUUCCCAGAUGCGUAUAUACAUCAACAAGUUUAUACGAGUAUCGAGGAUGGGAUUCAAAAGCUGCCAAUCCUACACAUCGACGAUUUUCUUGGGGCCUUAGACUGCUCGAAGUGAGUUACUUAGUUUUUGUCUGAUGAUCUGUGAUGAAACUUAUAUACUUAUUGUUUUGCGAGUAUUACUUCUGUUUGACUCGAUUGACCGGAAUGUGUGUCAUGUGGCAGAGGCGUGUGGUUGACUUUUACAUCUCCGAUUUCCAGUCUGGUUUAAGGGCAUUAGUUAAGACUGGUCAUGGUGCUAGAGUGACCCCAUAUGUAGAUGACUCAAAUCUCUUCAAUGUAAAUCCAACCAAAGAAGAGUUAUCUCCAGAAUUCCUCCGGUGGUUGGGAGAGAGAAAUUUGUCAAGCGACGACCGCAUCAUGCGGCUAGAAGAAGGGUAAUUUUCCCUUUAUCUAUUUUCAAAUAUACUAACUAACCUUAUUUUGAAUAAAAAUGUCUGAAUGUAACCACACGUGUCAAUGUUGUAUCGCGUCGGUGCUACAAUGUUACAUAAAAAACAUUUGAUUUUAAUCAUAACAGUCACACAUAUGAUUGGUGUAAGUUGAUUAAAUUUGUGAUACAGGCAUAUAAAAGAAGGAAGCACAGUGAGUGUAAUGGGAGUUGUUCAGAGAAAUGAGAAUGUGCUUAUGAUAGUUCCACCACCAGAGCCAAUAACAACAGGUUGCCAUUGGUUGAAAUGUAUAUUUCCUGCUAGCUUGGAAGGCAUAGUGUUGAGAUGUGAGGACAUGUCAAAGACUGAUGUGAUACCAGUUUAAGAUUAUGUGGAGGAAGAAUGUUUCUAAUUGGUGAUUGUUAGAUAGUAUUCUUUUCCCCUCUAUUAUUAGUGGUGGUGGAAUAUAAAUAUUGACACAUUAUUAUAGAUUAAGAUGGAUGGUAGAAAUUGUGUGUGUGUUUGUGUUUAUUUUUUCAUUCUCUUUAAAUAGUUGUGUAUAGUUAUGAUUGGUUUCAUGUUUUUCUAGGAUUUCUAUACUUUGGUGAUGUUUGAUGCAAGUCAAAAUUCUUAAAUGUCUAUGAAGCAUAUUGUUGUUAUGCUAACAUGCUAAAUAGAUUAUUAUAGCAUGUCUAGAUAAUUUUUAUUAUUAGGAAUAUAAUUUAUUCAUUAAAUUUUUACUAUUUAUUUUUGUGUGAAAAUUUGGAAAUCUUACAUUUUCGCGGGAUAAAAAAACUAUAUAAUUUUUUUUUAACAUUAAUUUUAACACAUUUUGUUUUUUUAUUUUCAAAAUUAUAAAUAAAAAUAAUUUCUUAUAAAUUUUAAUAACUUGCUAAAUAAAUUAAUGGGAAUAAAAUUCCAACCAAUAACUAUAAAUAAUAUUCUUGAAAUUGUAAUUUUAAUUCAUGAAACAAACACAUUAAAUUAUGUAGAAUGGUCACAUAAUCUCAAGAGAAAUAGUAAAGUGUUGCUUUAGUAUUCUUUGGUUGGCUUUCUAUUAAAUUUGAAGUCAUAAUUAUUGUAUAAAAAUAAGUUAUUUGAAAUAAAAUUAGGUAUUAAAAUCAGAUAACUAAGAUGUUUAAUAGAUAUAAUUAAAAUAGAAAAGAAUAGUUUGUUGAUUUUUUUAAAAGUAAAAUAAUUUUGUUUAUAGAUCCUUAAACCUUUUAUGGGAAGUAUUUAACUUGCCACCCCACAUGAAUGUGACACUUCCCAUUACGUAUGAAAAGAUAACACUAUUAUUGUAAAAUGAUUUCAAUCAUUUUUGAUAUUCACAAGAUCCAUGCGCGAAUAUCAAAAGUCUGAAGGCGAUAUCGAAAAUUUCAGAAACACUACCGUAAAUUUCAAAUAACAAUACGUUUAUUACUGCAAAUAUCAUUAUUUUCGGGAUUUUGUAUUGUAAAUUUCAGAAUUUUCAGUAUUAAUUCUAACAUUUUUAUUGGAAUUUUGCAAACUUAUGAUACAAAAUCCCAUAGAAUUUAACCAAAAUUUUAAAAUUUUCGAUAAUUAUAAAAACUUUGUUUUUUACUGAAAAUUUCAGAAUUUCCAGUAGUUAUAAAAAAUUGUUUUUUAUCGUAGAUUAUGAAAUUUCCGAUAGUUAAUAAUUUUUUAAAUAAUUUUCUUCUUCUUUUGGCAGUGAAAUACAGAGACAUGGACGACACUAUUGCAGACAUAAUUAUCGAUAGAACGACAUAUCAGACUAGGACUGCAGAGAUUGAGUCUUCCGAGAUAUGGGCUGGACGAAUGGUUCCAAUUGAAAACGGUUGGCUGAGCAGAGUCAGUUUCGCACACGUCGUAGCACUCGACGCCGAUAGGUACGAUCCGUUAAGCAGCCCAGAGAUGAGGUGACAAAUGAGGUGAGAGUGUCAGAUGUCGUUGUUGUAGAUGAGGCUGUUGCUGGGGAGGUUGCGAAAGAGGUUGUUGUUUAUGUGGUUGCUAGUGAGGUGGUUGUUGAUGAGGUGGUUGCUACCGUGGUCUAACCAGAUGUUGUUGUUGUUGCCGAUCCGAUCCCAUUUGUUACUGCUGACAUAGAGGUUACAACUCAUUUGACCGAUCCCUCUGUACACACUGAUAGAGGAUUCCUAGAGGAUCCAUUGACUGGUAGGUACUUACUGAGUAUGUCGACCAUGUGGCGUUACGACUAUGACAGGGAGAUGUAUAUGUCUUUUAUGUUUAAAUUUAAUUUGUUUAUUAUUGUGCCAUAAAAGCUAAUUGUUAUUUUUUUUUAAAUUUUGGUUGUUACAGAAUCGUAUCCCAUUGAAGGUGACAUUGCACGGGUCAAAGCUGAAAGACAUCCCAAAGAUUAUGAUGCAUGAUCAGGUCAAACAAAUUGUAAGGGAUUUCGAGGUCCUUGAUUUUGCCCACUGCUCCCUCACCAUGCUCGACGCUCCACUACUUACUGCGUGUGUUGAGAGAUGACACAAGGAGAUGUCUUCAUUUCAUCUUCCGUUCAGAGAGAUGACUAUCCCUCUGGAUAAUACCUCGUCAUUGUUCCAUCUCCCCAUCGACGACAGAUUUUGGAUGGCUCAUGUUCUUAGCCCGUCGCUUGCUUGUAUGACGGUUGCACGAAAUUUGGGAUUUUCUAAGGAGGCUGUGCAGAAGGAGUUUGCCUUCAACAUGGGCGCUCACCUUCGUAUGUCUUGGCUUCGGAAGACGUACGACAAACUUGUUACGGCUGAGAGUUAUGAGGUUGUCGCUAGGGUGUAGAUGUCAAAUCUAAUAGUAUGUACUCUUUUUGCAGACAAGUCAGGUGUUUAUAUCGUUAAGUAGCCUUAAGGUUACCAGUUAGGCUUUUGGGUGUGCUGAGUUGAUCAUUCUGUAUACUGCAUUUAGAGCGGCGAUAAUAUUUGAGACUAGACAGCUUGCUGGUUGUUUUAGUCUGUUACAAGUAUACUUGAAAUUAUUAUUUAUUAUUGAUUUAUUAUUUAAUCAUUAUGAAUAAAAUUUCUUAUUUAUUGUUUUUUUAUGUUUGUGUUUUGGUAUAAGUGAUGGAUAUACGAGCAUUUCCCCACCAUCUGUGACAUGAGAGUGCAACAUUUCCCAGUGGGGUCCCCACAGGAGAGGAGAUGGAGGGCCAGGUAGUCACAUCCCGAUGGUUUUUCCGAGUACAAGAGAAGUUUUGAUGUGCUAAGAUGAUGCCAUUUGGACACCAUACACUGAUCAUAAAGUCCACCGUGAGUUUGAGGUGUCUUCAUUAUAUUCAGGUUAUAUGCGGUGGAAGACCAUGAUUACUAGACACUUGCCUGAUGUGUAUGCGACAAUAUGGAUAUGUUAAGAGUCCAUGACCAGUUCCAGAUAUACCAUAUACGGACAUUGAUUGGUGGUUUCAAAGUAACUUUAUCAUCUUUGGUCAUGCCAUUAGACAUCAAGCAGUUCCUGUUCAGCAUCCCUCGUAGUGUGAGGAUGGUUAUUUAGAGUGGUACCUCACUGUGUCACACCUGUCGAGCAUACAAAUAAUGUUGGGCCUUCUAAUGCUAGGGUACUUAUCGACGACGUGCCACCGCCUCCUACAACUGACGCUUAUGACCAACAACGUCUCUAGAUGGUCGCAAUUAUUAUGGAUAACCUCAUGGGUUUAGUAAACCCAAAUGGCGAGGUUUAUACUAGAUUAUCUCCUGCUGCACACAUAGCCCGUGGGGGGUCUAUUUAGACAUCUUUUGUAUAUUAUAUAUUAUUUAUAUAUUACUCAGACAUCUUCAUCAGAAACUUUUUUAUUAGCUAAUAUUUUUUAUCUUUGAUUCAUGCAACACCAACAUAAACUAACAUUUGAUAAUUGAUUACAUGACUUAAACAUAACUUAAAAAAACGGUGAUAAAUAAGAAAACCUAGACACUACCAGAUGAUUCUGGACAUUUCAUCAUCUUUAUUGUAUGUUCGAUAGACCUUGAAAGCUUAACAUCUAACUCGAUCAACCCCUUUAUUAACCUACGACAAAAUGAUCUUUGCAUAUCCUUCACAUCUUUGUCGAUCUUCAACUCAAUAAGGUUGUAUUUCACCCUUCCGUCAGUAUCAAUUCAAUCUUCACGAAACUCAAUUUUUCUCACCUUCUUGUUUUCAGUAUGCGGCAAUAAUUCAUUCAACUUGAACGUCAAGUAGGUGAGAGAUGUGGUGCCAUCCGGAAGCCAAAAAUCUACGGGAGGUGAAGCUCCGUUAAAGUACACUUAUGCCCUAAUAAAAAUUUGAGGAAGAUGCAUUUUUUAGAUGUUUUUUAUCAAAUAGCAGGUGAUCCAUAUUUAUAUAACUUUGCAUUU
rnacentral:lncRNA from 1 species